UUAGGGCCAGUUGCACCAACCACAUUUGACAGACUGAUCAAAGUCAGCCGGCGCGCCCAGGCGCUUUACUAUGAAACUUUCCAUACAUAAAAAUUUAGUGAACUCUUUAACGAUACGAACAGUUUGGUGGAACCGACCCUUAAUCUUACUCUAUGGUCAUACCUAAAUUAAAAUAUUUUACAGGAAGAAGUAACUGAACUGGCUGUACUACCGACACUUGAUAAUGAUGACAGCCCAUCUAUUUUUAUACUACAUGAUGAGUUUGCUCAACAAACUUGUUCCAAUGUUGAAGAUUGGAAUCGGCCAGGGACAUCGGCUCAACCCCCAGUUUUUCCACCCUUACCUGUGGACAGGAAUAACCAAGACUUGGCGGGCAGAGAGGAGCCUGAAAUAGUUAACAGCCCAGACAGGAGUGAGGCCGGCAUGACACAGACGCAGGAG